rnacentral:rRNA from 1 species
GAUGCAGUCGAGCGGAUGAGAAGAGCUUGCUCUUCGAUUCGCGGCGGACGGGUGAGUAAUACCUAGGAAUCUGCCUGGUAGUGGGGGACAACGUUUCGAAAGGAACGCUAAUACCGCAUACGUCCUACGGGAGAAAGCAGGGGACCUUCGGGCCUUGCGCUAUCAGAUGAGCCUAGGUCGGAUUAGCUAGUUGGUGAGGUAAUGGCUCACCAAGGCGACGAUCCGUAACUGGUCUGAGAGGAUGAUCAGUCACACUGGAACUGAGACACGGUCCAGACUCCUACGGGAGGCAGCAGUGGGGAAUAUUGGACAAUGGGCGAAAGCCUGAUCCAGCCAUGCCGCGUGUGUGAAGAAGGUCUUCGGAUUGUAAAGCACUUUAAGUUGGGAGGAAGGGUACUUACCUAAUACGUGAGUAUUUUGACGUUACCGACAGAAUAAGCACCGGCUAACUCUGUGCCAGCAGCCGCGGUAAUACAGAGGGUGCAAGCGUUAAUCGGAAUUACUGGGCGUAAAGCGCGCGUAGGUGGUUCGUUAAGUUGGAUGUGAAAUCCCCGGGCUCAACCUGGGAACUGCAUCAAAACUGGCGAGCUAGAGUAGGGCAGAGGGUGGUGGAAUUUCCUGUGUAGCGGUGAAAUGCGUAGAUAUAGGAAGGAACACCAGUGGCGAAGCGACCACCUGGGCUCAUACUGACACUGAGGUGCGAAAGCGUGGGAGCCAGGAUUAGAUACCCUGGUAGUCCACGCCGUAAACGAUGUCAACUAGCCUUGGAAUCCUUGAGAUUUUAGUGGCGCAGCUACGCAUUAAGUUGACGCCUGGGGAGUACGCGCGGUAAAACUCAAAUGAAUUGACGGGGCCCGCACAAGCGGUGGAGCAUGUGGUUUAAUUCGAAGCAACGCAAUUACCGGCCUUGACAUGCAAGAACUUUCAAGGAUGCCUUCGUCUGACUGCAUGGUGUCGUCAGCUUGCGAGAGGGAUCCCGAGCCUGGGGUCUGCUGGGGGGGCAAUAAAAC